UACGGGGGGGGCAAGCGUUGUUCGGAAUUACUGGGCGUAAAGGGCUUGUAGGUGGCCAACUAAGUCAGACGUGAAAUCCCACGGCUUAACCGAGGAACUGCGUCUGAUACUGGAUGGCUUGAGUGUGGGAGGGGGAUGCGGAAUUCCAGGUGUAGCGGUGAAAUGCGUAGAUAUCUGGAGGAACACCGGUGGCGAAGGCGGCAUCCUGGACCAUGACUGACACUGAAAAGCGAAAGCCAGGGGAGCAAACGGG
rnacentral:rRNA from 1 species